rnacentral:rRNA from 1 species
AGGUUCGAUUCUGGCUCAGGAUGAACGCUGGCGGCGUGCCUAACACAUGCAAGUCGAGCGAUUCUCUUCGGAGAAGAGCGGCGGACGGGUGAGUAACGCGUGGGUAACCUGCCUCAUACACAUGGAUAACAUACCGAAAGGUAUGCUAAUACAGGAUAAUAUAAGAAAUUCACAUGGAUUUCUUAUCAAAGCUCCGGCGGUAUGAGAUGGACCCGCGUCUGAUUAGCUAGUUGGUAAGGUAACGGCUUACCAAGGCGACGAUCAGUAGCCGACCUGAGAGGGUGAUCGGCCACAUUGGAACUGAGACACGGUCCAAACUCCUACGGGAGGCAGCAGUGGGGAAUAUUGCACAAUGGGCGAAAGCCUGAUGCCAGCAACGCCGCGUGAGUGAUGAAGGCCUUCGGGUCGUAAAACUCUGUCCUCAAGGAAGAUAAUGACGGUACUUGAGGAGGAAGCCCCGGCUAACUACGUGCCAGCCGCAGC